UACGUAGGGGGCUAGCGUUGUCCGGAAUCAUUGGGCGUAAAGAGCGUGUAGGCGGCCCGGUAAGUCCGCUGUAAAAAGUCAAAGGCUCAACCUUUGAAUGUCAGUGGAUACUGCCGGGCUAGAGUCCGGAAGAGGCGAGUGGAACUCCUGGUGUAGCGGUGGAAUGCGCAGAUAUCAGGAAGAACACCAACGGCGAAGGCAGCUCGCUGGGACGGUACUGACGCUGAGGUGCGAAAAGCGUGGGGGAGCAAACAGG
rnacentral:rRNA from 1 species